CUUCAACUGUAAUAAUUUUCCUUUUUUUUUUUAGAUGGAUUUUUGCUCUUGAUGCCAAGGCUGGAGUGCAAUGGCACAAUCUUGGCUCACUGCAACCUCUGCCUCCCCGGUUCAAGUGAUUCUCCUGUCUCAGCCUCCCGAGUAGCUGGGAUUACAGGCGUCUGCCACCACACCCGGCUAAUUUUUUUUUUUUUUUGUAUUUUUAGUAGAGACAGGUUUUCACCAUGUCGGUCAGGCUGGUCUCGAACUCCUAACCUCAGGUGAUCCACCCACCUUGGCCUCCCAAAGUGUUGGGAUUACAGGCAUGAGCCACUGCAGUCGGCCAAUUUUACUUUUUAAAAAGAUAAUAUAUUCAUAGGUUCAUUGUGUAAUGAAAAAUUAACAAACAAUAAUAACCAAGUAAGACAUGGCCUGUCUAAGGAGACAAACGGGAUGGAGCAUCCAAGCCAAACGCAGAAUGAAGAACAAAGAAACACGGUGACACACUUGCAAUCGCUGCUAGGCAUGGCCAUGUGACUACGUUUUGGCCAAUGGGGUACCCUCAUGUUCUCUGUCCCACCCUCUGACCUGAUGCCUGGAACACAGAUGUGAUGGCUGGAGCUCUAAUUGCCAAAAGGGACCACAAAGACCAUGAGCCAAGUCUGUAGGAAUGAAAGAUGCCUGGGGGCCAUGCACCGCGGCUCAUGCCUGUAAUCCCACAACUUUGAUAGGCCAAGGUGGAAGGAUUGCUUGAGGCCAGGAGAUCAAGACCAGCCUGGGCUAAAAUAUGCACCUCUGGCAUAUUGACUAUGUUGAGUUAAAGGCACUUGAAAAACAGCAGGCACAAUAACAAUCUGAUCUUCUUCUUGAAAGCAGGAGAGGCCAGGCGCGACAACUCAUGCUUGCAAUCCCAGCACUUUGAGAGGCCAAGAUGGGCAGAUUACUUGAGGUCAGGAGUUUGAGACCAGCCUGGCCAACAUGGUGAAACCCCAUCUCUACUGAAAAUUAAAAAAAUUAGCUGGGCAUGGUGGCAUCACCUGUAAUCCCAGCUACUCGGGAGGUGCAAGCAGGAGAAUCGCUUGAACCCAGGAGGCGGAGGUUGCAGUACCCUGAGACAGCGCCACUGCACUCUAGCCUGGGCAACAAAGUGAGACUGUCUCAAAAAAAAAAAAAAAAAAAAAAAAGGCCAGCUUGGGCAACAUAGCAAGACCCCAUCUCUACCAAAAAAAUCCACAAAAACCAAAUUAGCCGGGCAUAGUGGUACUGGCCUGUAGUCCCAGCUACUCAGGAGGCUGAGGUGGGAGGAUUGCCUGAGCCUAUGGGUUUGAGGCUGCAGUGAGCUAUGAUCCAGCCUGGGCAACAGAGUGAGACCCUGUCUCUAAAAAAAAGGAAAGAUGCCUGGGUCACCGAAGACCUCUGGAGCCAGUAUGCCAGCCCUGGACCACUUCCACAGCCUUGGACUUUGUUGAAAUCACUGUUAUCUGGGAUUUCGGUCACCUGCUGCUGAACCUAAUUCUAAGUGAGAAACUGAGUUAAAUAGAGUGAAACAAGUUUCAGGAUCAUCUGACUUGGCAGAGCCCUGACUAUUCAAUGUGACCGCGCCUAGCCUGAAGCCGCCCCGUUUUUUUUUUUUUUUUCACAGAUCUCAGAUUGGGAAAGACUUGUCUACAGCACACAUGCAUGGUUAGGAAAUUAUUUUUCAAUAAAAGCAAUUACAUUGUUAUUAAGGACAAUGACACUGACCACACUGAGCUAAGUCAAAGUUUAAGUAAAUCAAAC
rnacentral:lncRNA from 10 species